CCUACGGGUGGCAGCAGUAGGGAAUCUUCCACAAUGGGCGAAAGCCUGAUGGAGCAACGCCGCGUGGGUGAAGAAGGUCUUCUGAUCGUAAAACCCUGUUGUUAGAGAAGCAAGUGCGUGAGAGUAACUGUUCCCGUUUCGACGGUAUCUAACCAGAAAGCCACGGCUAACUACGUGCCAGCAGCCGCGGUAAUACGUAGGUGGCAAGCGUUAUCCGGAUUUAUUGGGCGUAAAGGGAACGCAGGCGGUCUUUUAAGUCUGAUGUGAAAGCCUUCGGCUUAACCGGAGUAGUGCAUUGGAAACUGGGAGACUUGAGUGCAGAAGAGGAGAGUGGAACUCCAGGUGUAGCGGUGAAAUGCGUAGAUAUAUGGAAGAACACCAGUGGCGAAAGCGGCUCUCUGGGCUGUAACUGACGCUGAGGUUCGAAAGCGUGGGUAGCAAACAGGAUUAGAUACCCUGGUAGUC
rnacentral:rRNA from 1 species